rnacentral:rRNA from 1 species
UACGUAGGGUGCGAGCGUUGUCCGGAUUUAUUGGGUUUAAAGGGUGCGUAGGCGGGGAGAUAAGUCUGCUUUUAAAUUCGGCCGCUCAACGGUCGUAUGGGAGUGGAUACUGUUUUUCUUGAGAGAUCUGGGGGCUGGCGGAAUUUGUGGUGUAGCGGUGAAAUGCAUAGAUACCACAAGGAACACCGAUCGCGUAGGCAGCUAGCCACGGAUUUUCUGACGCUGAGGCACGAAAGUGUGGGGAGCAAACAGG